AAAUAAAGCUAAGCAUAAGAGGCUAUGACAGCACAAAAGAAGGAGUGAAAACUCAGUUUCGAAGGGACAAAGUCAAGGAGACUUCAAAGAUGAGAAAUGAUUGCACUGGGCCUUAGAGAGGAAGUUCAGCAGAACAAGUAAGAGGCACUGAUGGUGAACAAAUAUAGAGACUGGAAUCCAGUGACGUCACACAGGCGCUCUGGAAGCCAGUGAUGCAGUAUC
rnacentral:lncRNA from 1 species